rnacentral:tRNA from 1 species
GGGCGGUUAGCUCAGCGGUAGAGCAUCUCGCUUACACCGAGAGGGUCGGCGGUUCGAAACCGUCACCGCCCACCA